GCCUGGUCUAUAAAGUGAGUUUCAGGACAGC
rnacentral:piRNA from 1 species